UACGGAGGGGGCUAGCGUUGUUCGGAAUUACUGGGCGUAAAGCGCACGUAGGCGGCUUUGUAAGUUAGAGGUGAAAGCCCAGGGCUUAACCCUGGAAUUGCCUUUAAGACUGCAUCGCUAGAAUCGUGGAGAGGUGAGUGGAAUUCCGAGUGUAGAGGUGAAAUUCGUAGAUAUUCGGAAGAACACCAGUGGCGAAGGCGACUCACUGGACACGUAUUGACGCUGAGGUGCGAAAGCGUGGGUAGCAAACAGG
rnacentral:rRNA from 1 species